UACGGAGGGUGCUAACGUUGUCCGGAUUUACUGGGCGUAAAGCGCAUGUAGGUGGUUUGGCAAGUCAAUGAUUAAAGACCAACGCUCAACGUUGGACCGGUUGUUGAAACUGCCUGACUAGAGGGUAGCAGGGGUAAGCGGAACUUUGAGUGUAGGAGUGAAAUCCGUAGAUAUUCAAAGGAACACCAAUGGCGAAGGCAGCUUACUGGGCUAUUUCUGACACUGAGAUGCGAAAGCGUGGGGAGCAAACGGG
rnacentral:rRNA from 1 species